rnacentral:rRNA from 1 species
GAUGAACGCUAGCGGCAGGCCUAAUACAUGCAAGUCGAACGGUGUCUUCGGACAUAGUGGCGCACGGGUGCGUAACACGUAUGCAACCUACCUUACAUUGGGGGAUAGCCUUUCGAAAGGGAGAUUAAUACCGCAUAAGACAGUAGCUGGGCAUCCAGCAGCUGUUAAAGAUUUAUCGAUGUAAGCUGGGCAUGCGUCCAAUUAGCUAGUUGGUGAGGUAACGGCUCACCAAGGCAAUGAUUGGUAGGGGAACUGAGAGGUCAAUCCCCCACACUGGCACCGAGAUACGGGCCAGACUCCUACGGAAGGCAGCAGUAGGGAAUAUUGGGCAAUGGACGCAAGUCUGACCCAGCCAUGCCGCGUGCAGGAUGAAGGCGUUAUGCGUUGUAAACUGCUUUUAUACAGGAAGAAACGACUCUUGCGAGAGGCAUUGACGGUACUGUAUGAAUAAGCACCGGCUAACUCCGUGCCAGCAGCCGCCGUAACAC